UGCAGUCGAGCGAACUGAUUAGAAGCUUGCUUCUAUGACGUUAGCGGCGGACGGGUGAGUAACACGUGGGCAACCUGCCUGUAAGACUGGGAUAACUUCGGGAAACCGAAGCUAAUACCGGAUAGGAUCUUCUCCUUCAUGGGAGAUGAUUGAAAGAUGGUUUCGGCUAUCACUUACAGAUGGGCCCGCGGUGCAUUAGCUAGUUGGUGAGGUAACGGCUCACCAAGGCAACGAUGCAUAGCCGACCUGAGAGGGUGAUCGGCCACACUGGGACUGAGACACGGCCCAGACUCCUACGGGAGGCAGCAGUAGGGAAUCUUCCGCAAUGGACGAAAGUCUGACGGAGCAACGCCGCGUGAGUGAUGAAGGCUUUCGGGUCGUAAAACUCUGUUGUUAGGGAAGAACAAGUACGAGAGUAACUGCUCGUACCUUGACGGUACCUAACCAGAAAGCCACGGCUAACUACGUGCCAGCAGCCGCGGUAAUACGUAGGUGGCAAGCGUUAUCCGGAAUUAUUGGGCGUAAAGCGCGCGCAGGCGGUUUCUUAAGUCUGAUGUGAAAGCCCACGGCUCAACCGUGGAGGGUCAUUGGAAACUGGGGAACUUGAGUGCAGAAGAGAAAAGCGGAAUUCCACGUGUAGCGGUGAAAUGCGUAGAGAUGUGGAGGAACACCAGUGGCGAAGGCGGCUUUUUGGUCUGUAACUGACGCUGAGGCGC
rnacentral:rRNA from 1 species